CUCCGUUUUGUUUAUAAUGAAUGAGUCACGCUGGAAGUCAGGCAUCUCCUUUUUCUUCUCUCCCAUGUUACGGGGUUAGGCAAGAAAUCAGAGGCAGAGGCACCCCAGUCAAAGCGCAGUCAUCCUGACGGUGUCCGGUGACUCCGGCCUCAGCAGUUCAGGACUCGUGACUCAAUGGGGACCCCUACUGGUGAGACCAAGAGGGCCCGCGCGGAGGAGCUGAGAUCUGCCUUUCCCACACCUCAAGGGCAGACCGGGGCGAGGACUCGCAGAUGUACCAGAGGAACGGGAAGCUGCAGCUGAAGUCCUUGCAUCCUGCAUCCUGUCCGCCCCACCUGCACGGAGGGGUGAGCUCCAAGUGAAAGAAAGAAAACUCAAUCUUAAAAGCUUUGAGGAUUGCUCAUGUUGGAGAGCUCACCCAGGAAAAGGAGGAGGUGCCUGGUACAGGAACAGGAGGCAUGGGGACCCAGAGGACCAUGUGUUUCCAGAGGAUGUGGUAUGAGUUUCUUAGUUAGGGAAGACAGGUGGGAAAACUGGGAGUCUUUACAAGACUGUGAGUAUUCAUUUGGGCUUAGAGAUCUUUGGGAUUUAGGAGACUGACCAUGUGCAAGAACUGAGAAUUCUAAGGGCUCCUGCACCUGUACCACUCGAUUCUGUGAACAGGUAAUUCAUCUCAUGUCUUAAAAGUACUGGUUUCCGAUAACCAAGUUCUAGUAGGUGCUGCAUAUAUUUGGGUGGUUAGGAGACUCGUCAGCCAGUUUUAGAAGUGGCUCUCUUAAAUUAGCAGUAGGAAGUCCCCAAGGAGUAUGAAAUUGAAGGAAAUGUGGUGGAAAGAACUGGUGAGGAGUGGCAGAGAGGCUCCUUCUCAGGGUUCCAGAGGGCCCUAGGUAGAGAGCCGGGUAAGAACAUGAUUGAUUGUGUGUCUUAUCAGUUUGUGUAGGAGACACAGAUUCCUGCUUGCUUCGGAGCAGCCUUCUAUGGACACUGGCAGAACCUCUGUCUGGCCCCGACACUCCUCAUUUAGAGAUGGAAUAGACUGGGCCUGACCUGGACAGUGCCGCGGGGAGGGGGAGAGAGAGAGGCCAGGGACACUGAGAGAGACACCUCAGCCCAACGUGCACAGGAAGCUUGGCUUCUGGUCCACCGACCUUGGGGACGGAACGCACAGUCAUUGAAAGCACUGGAAAGGAAGGAAUCACUGAGCGGGUGAUCAGUCAUGACCCCGGGCGGCUGGCAGGUCGGGGGGGCGACCAGACUGCUCACUUUUUCACCUUCCCUUUAGACACCACUUCGGCAUAGGGGGUGUGAAGGAACUCGUACAGCUGCUUGGCGUUGGCAGCGUGCCCCAGGAGGCCCGUGAGCUUGUCCAGGGACAGGGUGGCCAGUUCCGCGAUGUUCUGAACGUGGUGCAUCAAGGAGUGGCAGUUUUUGGCGUUCACUCCGGGCAUUUUUAACAAGAAGUCCUGGGGGCCGGGGCUGUACUUGUCCGACUCGGGGAGGGUUUCGGCGUCGGCCGUGACCGCCAGGGCCGUGGCCGCGUCGGGCUGCGGCUUGUUUUGUUUCAGUUCCUCGAACAGCUCGGCGGUGGCGUGGGGGGACGGGCACCAGAGGAGCCGCAGCCUGGGGAAGUGGAGCGUGAGAAGGGCGAGCUUGGAGCUGACGUCGUUGCCGGAGAUCUCCUGGAACAAGGCUCCGCGGGGCGUGAGGGAGAAGGGCUUGCUCGGGUCGAACUCGAUGAGCAGCAGCGGGCGCCUGUAGUAGCGGGACAUGGACACGCACUGGCUGUAGAGGCGGCCGUUGUUGAGGGAGCCGAUCAGGUCGCUGAUGCUCUUGCGCUCCACGCACAUCUCCGGGGUCAGGAUGUAGUCGCCCACCUCCAGGGUCACGGGCUCAAUGUCGAUGCCCCGGCGGUGGAUCAGGGAUGGCAGCUCGCUGCGAAACUCGCGCAUGUCCACUACGAUGCUCUGCUGCACGCCGUUCUGCUCCUGGCCACCUACGAAAAGAAAAAAGAAAAAAAAGGAGCCUUUUCAGUCGUGUCACUGGGGAGACACUCUUGGAGGAGCUCUGAUAGAGUUUAAUAUCUGUGUUUCUGUUGUCAUCCUCUGAUGGAUGGUUACAUAAUGCCACGUGGCAUGAUUCCACAUUUUUCUCUCUUUUCUACGACGUUUAUUUAUAGAGAAAGCAGAGGUGAAUUCCCUUAAAACUAAACAGAACCGGGAGGCCUCCAUGGGUCUUAACUUGCCAUGACUCACGGGUACAGACAUGUCUGUUCUGGUUUGCGCCAGUUUGUUCCCUCCAAGGGCCCUCGCCACAUGGCACUGGGCGUGUACUCCCAAGUCCUAGGGCAGAGCCUGCUACACACUAGACACUUAGCAUGCUCACUGAGUCAACUGCCUUAGAGCUGCUGUCAUGAUUUCAGUGAGUCCCGAGAAAAGAGGGUCCAGAGAAAAGACAGUCCUUGGGAAAAGAGGACACUGCAAGAAAAACAGGAACACAGCUUCUGAUGCUCUCAUGGACACACCUAUCACCAGGGAUGGUGUAAAGAGUAGGGCUGGGACUUAAGGGUCCUAAGACUCCCCAUUUCUAACAAAACUCUAGGAGAUGCUAAUGCUGCUGUUAAGGACUACACUUACAGCUAUGGAGGGUAUUGCAGAGCUAAGGCCCCCCCAAAGAUGCCCACACCCCAAUCUCUGCAACGUGUAAAUAAGACACUUGACAUGGUCAGAGGGACUUUGCACAUGUGAUUAAGUUAAGCAUCUGGAGAUUGGGAGAUUAUCCUGGACUAUGUGAGUAGGCCCAUGUGUCCUUAAAAGUGAAAGAGGGAAGGAGGAGGGUCAGAGAGGAGAGAAGACAUUGUAGUACUGGCUUUGAAGGUGGAGGAAGAGGCUAUGGGCUAAGGAAUGCAGAUAGCUUCUAGGCACUGGAAAAAAAAAAAAAAAAAAACAGGGAAAGAGAUUCUCUACUGGAGCCUCUGGCAGGGACACAGCCCUGCUGGAUCUUUAUCCUAGCCUACUGAAAUCAAUUUGGAAUUCUGACCUGCCUGCAGAACUGCAAGACCAUAAAUGCAUGGUAUUUCAAGCCACCAAGUCUAUGGGAAUUUGUUACAGCAGCAAUAGGAAACUCAUACAGAGGCUUUAAGGAUGGAACUCAAAAGGGCAGACUUCCAUUAAGAGACUUCUGUGUGGUACCUGCAUGUUCUUAUAUAUCCUUCUCAUAGUGUCUUCCACUCUGCAGUCCUUCAUGAAAUGUCACCAACCUUGAUGAGUUGUUAAGAAUCUUAUCAAAAAAGACACAGAUGUUCUGAGGCAGUGUUUCCCAAAGCAUGGUCCAAGGACCACUUCCAUCAGAGGAGAUGCAGAGUCCAUUCCACACCCAGUGAAUCAGAGUUUCUAUGGAUGGAGGCCAGUGCAUCUACAGUUCUGGAAGCACUUGAGGUUACUCUGGAGUCUUCUAAAUUCUGAGACCCAGUGGUCUCAGUGGCCCUGACCUCACCAGUAGUUAAAUCAACUCAAUUUUAUUGUUUUUCUCAUGUUGCUUGGCCAACCCUAGCUGUUUUCAUGGGUUACAUUUUUAUUUUUAUUUUUUAUUUUUGUUGUGCUGGGGCUGGAACCCAGGGCCUUGGUGCAUGCUAGGCAAUCACUACCACUGAGCUGGACUUUCAGCCCCACCAGCUGCUGUCAUGGGAAGAUGGGGACUUGGGUGUGGGAAAUGGUUACUUCUGGUUCAUGGUGUACUUGGCCUUCGGCAGAACUUGUUAGCAUGCCAGUGCAAAUACUGCAUAGAAACGAGAUUGCCAGACACCUGGGAUGUCUGUGCCCAGAGUAACUCCCCUAGGUAUACACCUGAAGGGAGAGGCAGAGGAAGGAGGGAGAAAUCCCCUCAGCUGGGGGUCAAAUUGGCUUUUUUGAUUUAAGACCAAAACCUAAUCAGCAUCCACCAAAGUUUCUUUGGAAAAGAGCAUUCUGAGUCUCAAUCAGCGGUUCUAGAUCUAAUACUGGACACAACCACUUCUAAGCUUAGGAGCACGGGACUCAACCUGAUGUGUUUUACAGGUGGCACAGUGGCUUUGUUCUGGGGAAGAUGUGUGGCUAUUAAAUGGCAGAACCGAGGCUGGAGUGUGGGAGCUGAUGUCCUCUCCCUGGCCCCAUCUCUGUUUUUAGGAGUUUUUGGAGAAAAGCCAAGCUCCUUCCGGGCAACAGAGGUUCUUGGCAGAGGGCAGGACUCACCGGCUUUGCGGGUGUCGGUGGACGCAUUUGUCGAUGCUGCGCCUCUUGCAAGGUCCAGGUUGGUGUCGUCUCGGCCUUCUCUCUCUUCAGGGAUGACCAUGCUCGCCUUUUCCCUGGGGGAGGAAACAUUUGACACAUUUUUUUGAAUUGAUUUCGAAAUUCUAGAUUUUAAUCUUUUGAGAAUUUUCGUAUCUGAUGUGAUCUACGUGACUGUCACUGUAAAAGAGAGUACGAGAAAUACAUCGGAAGGGAACACACAGGUGCACGUGAUGGGUGAAGGGAGCGGGAAGAAUUUCUUGGUUGGGUGCUACUUCUUGAUCCUCUAGAGUUAAAAAAAAAAAAUAAAUAAAACCCCAGCUAUUUAUAAAUUUUUUCUAUAUUCAAGUAUUUUGAGACAAUAAACAUGCAUGUAAAAAAUGUUAGAGUUGAUUUGAAGCUGUGUGCAAAGCUAACAUGUUAUUGGUACUUAAAAUGAAAUCAUUUAUAUAUAUAUAUAUAUUUUUUUUUCAGGGUACUCAUUAACUAGAGGUUAGAAAAUCAAUGAUUAAGAAAAUGAAAACACACAUAUGAUAGCACUUUGAUUUAAAAAUCUCCAGGUGGGUGGCUCCCUUAAGCACCCUCAAUUUUAAAGGGAAAUGCAGGUUCAUGCAUGAACCAAAUUUCUACCAGAGAUGGAAACAGAAAAUCAACAUCUCAGUAUGCUAUACCUCAGCAGUAGUGUUCGACCAUCACUCGGGUAUCCACUGAAGGACACUGUGCAGUGCCCCUUGUGCUGGGCUAGGCCCUGGGAUGCAGACACCACCGUACAGGGACCCCUAACUUCAAGGUAGCUCAGUCUCUGUCUGUGAUUGCAGAUCACAAUUCUAACUAAGGCUUGCAACUCAAAGCUAUGGCAUGACACGUUCCUCAGCAGUCACCGCGAGAGUAUCCUGGGUUUGCUGUACUCAUUUUUCAAAACCAGUAAAGGAUGCUAUAAUUAACUCAUGAAACAGCGAGUACUGAGUGUCCCAUCUGUGCCAGGUAUGACAGAAGAGACAGAGUCGCUGGGCCUCUUCCCUCCAGGGGCUUGUAGCCGAGUUGAGGAAACAAACAAAGCCCUGGAAAAACCUCGCAGGACUGAGGAACUGCAGCAGAACAGGCCAGAGUAAGGCGAGGCAGAAGGGGCUUGGUCAGUACUAACCAACCUCAGCAAGGGUCGGAGCAACUGAGAUUUUCUGAUUAAAGGAAAUGAAAUCAAACGGACCAAUUCUUCAGCCACUCUGGAUAAAUGAUGUUUUAGAGCAGAAUACCAUUUAAAAUACCACUAAAGAACAGAAAUUGUAAUUUUAAAUUCUAGACUAUUUGAAAGCAUCUACAGAUGCAAAGUUAUUCUCAGUUCAGCAUAAAUAGAUGGUGAGGGGGCAGACAAAGUUCUAGCUGUGCUUUCUUCCUCAUUCUCCCCGCUGGACCGUCCUCACCUUGGUAAUGGCUGGGGAGGCCAUGCUUGCUGCUCCACCACAGCCACACGCUGGUUAGGACAAAAGGCUAAUCAGGCAAGAAAAUUUUUGCUCCUAUAAAUUUUUUUUUUCCUUGAACAUUUGGAAUUACCAAAUUCAUUGUUUUUGUUCUUUUUUUCUCCCCUCUUUAUUUCUGCUUAUUUUACUAGCUAAGCUACAUAUCACAUGAGGGCCGGCAUCCCCAUUUCCUGAUUGGUCUGUCACCUGUGGGGGGCAGACCCUGUUCCAUGUCAUGUGAAUCUGAACCACUUGCUGGCUGUGUGACCUUAGGCAAGUCAUUUAAUGGCUUUGUGCCUCAAUUUCUUCAUCUGUAAAAUGGGGCUAAUGAUAAAACUCACUUCAAAAGACUGCUCUGAGGACUGCAUUAGACACGUAAGCUGCUCUGAACAGUGCUUGGCACAGAAUAACUGCAGCAUCAGUGUGGCUGUUAGGACUGCUGUAUUAUCCUUAGAAUGUCGUAACUGCAUCCCCGAAACAUCCAGGGUUACGCUAAAAUACCCAGAAUGAUUUCAAAUGAUUCCAUGACUGUUUCCAUUUGUGAGGAAAAAAAAUAUACCCCAGAAAUGAAACCUGGACUCUGAGGAAGAUAAACCUUCCUAACCAGUCUCUCAGAUUCACUCAUCAGGAACUUGCCCUCAUUGUGAACCUUUGAUUCCUUGUCCUCCCGUUCAGCAUAACUAUCGGAGUUAAUCUGCGAGAUAGACACAAAAUAACUUUGGAAAUUCAGCGUCCUGCUUCUGCUUAAUCUAAAGUACUGAGGGCUCCUGCUUUUGCUUUGAUAUUUUCAGUGACAUCUGAACAGCUUGCACAAUAUUUUAAUAUAGGAAGGAGGUGCUGUAUUAGAAGUCUCUCUUCAAAUGGGCACUUACUCAAGCCCUCCAGCUAACCUAGCUUGUGACUGUAUCUUCUAACGGUAAAAUUUCCAAUAGUCUCACCACUUCCUUUGAAAAGCAGUGACCUCCUCAAGACUUUGCAUGCUGAGGAUCUUACAGUUUUCUACCCUGGGAACAUUUUAUUAUCAAUACCUAGCAGUGUGGUCUCUUUUCUCUUAUCAAUCUGUAAUCUACUCAUCUUUAACACAGCCAAACAAUUCUUCCCCUGCCAGUUUGCCUGAUCCAUUCCCUUCUGGUUAAAUAGGAGUGUUGCUUUUGUUCUUACACCACCCAUGGAGGCCUUGGCAAAAGCACAUUAUCUUAUUCUCAUGUUCAAUUUUCUUCUAAGUACAGAGUGGGGGAAAUGCUCUUUCAGCAGAGAGACACCUCAAAUGCCGUUUUCUAAACAAACACCUCUCAAAUUCCCCAAGUUUUCUGGGAAGGCAAAUAUCUUAGGAUUCUAGAUAGCAGAACCAUCUGACUGUUGUGUAAUAUGGGAGAUUUCAUUUAUAGCAAGUAGGCAAUUGCCAUAGAAAAAGUUAUGGUGGAUCUUAAAUAAAAUUAGAGUAAAACCUGAUGUGGAAACAUUGUCCCAUUGAAGUGGGGGAGUCCAUGUUCCAGGUUCUGCUGGGUGAGGUCUAGGUGCGGGGGUUCACUUAUAUGUCACUGAGCAUAAACCAGGAGUGACAUGGGGUCCCCUGGACCUGACCACUACCUACUAAAAGUACCAUUUGCUCAAUUAGGUUCCUGAUGUAUCAGAGAAGAGGCCGCCACACAACUAAAGGCUGGUACAGAAAACCCACCCCCUCGGACGAUGCCUGCCUGGCGGUCUAAGCUCCUCUGGCCACCGUGCCCUGCGGGGAAAGGGUUAAUUCACUUGACAGGAGAUGUUCAAACUGCCCACUUCCCAGACAGGCCUGUCUCCUUGGGAAUGGCCUUUGGCUCAUGAGUGAUGACCCCUGGAAUAUUCUUCUUGGUAAGAGGGCUUUGAAUGCCUGAGGCCUUGGGCCCAUGUCCCCUUGUCCCCGUUUGAUUAGACAGUUAUGCUAAAAAUGUGGCUCGUGGUGAAUGCCUGGUUUUGCUCUGAGGUUUGGGGUCUGCGUGGCUGGGCCCCCGUGAAAACCCUGGAGGCCAAAGCUCUCUGAGUUUCUCUGUGGCCAAUCUUGGCCCGUGCGUUCGCACGUGGCUGCCGGGAGGGUUAAGCACAUCUCUGUGACUCUAGGGCAGGACACUUGGAAGCAUAAUCCUGGUUUUCCUGGAUGUCACCUGCCUGUCUUUUCCCUUGCUGAUUUAAUCUGUAUCCUUUUGCUGUAAUAAACCCAACUGUGAACAUCACAGUCUUUCUGAGUCACAUGAAUCCUUCUAGAGAACCAGUGAGUCUCAGAGCGGCUUUGGGGACCCUUGAGGGGAACACUAAUGCCCUAAUCUGAAUAUUUUAGCUCUCGGUGUUCAUUUGUGAUUUGGUGACAAUUAUUUUAAUUAGAGACAAUAUAGGGAGAGGAUGUUUUUUUAAAAAAGAGUGAAAAAAUGGGUAGGAGGUACUGGCCCACAUCACCAAUUCUUUGAUUCUAGCUCCUUAAAUAUCUCUUAAAUCUGUCCCGUCCUCUCCAUUAACCCAGUGAUGCAGGCCACCUUCUCUCACCCAACAAUCACAUCAGCCUUCUGACUAGUUUCCACGCUGAUUCAUUUCUCAGUUUCACGUCAGGGAAAACCUUUACAAAUUCACCUAAGUCACACUCCCACUCAGAGCACUGCAGUGCUGUCCUGGGCCCUGAAGUCCCAAACCCUCAGUGGGCCUCAGCUCGCACUCCCGGGCCCUUUGUUCAGCGUGACCGGCUUUCCACCCCAUCUGCCUGGCAAAUCCCACAGCUUUUUCCAGAACCAGCUUGAACACCCCUGCCUCCUGCAGCUGCUCCCGACAGGCUUCUGGCCUAGGUCGAUCCCUCCAUCCGCUCUCCUGCUAAAUCUUUUCUUUUACCUUUGCUGUUGGCAGUGCUCUCAACCCUAUUUAUUAUGCUCUUUAUGGUCAUUUAGAGUCUAGGUCUUUUGCACGGGAGGAUAAACUCCAAGAAGGCAUAGACUAUUCCCACCCAGAACCUAGAGGCAGUGCGGCAGGAUGGCUGUCCAUUUUUGAAAUCCUGUCUAGUGCCCUGGCAGGCUGACUGCCACUAAAAAAUAAUUUUUGCCCUCUUGUUGCCACUGGUACCUCGCCAGUGUCUGAGGGGUGGAAGCCUGGUGUGGACCUGCCAUACUCAUGCAGGCCAUGGUCUCUGAUGGUCUAACCUCUCUGUGGCUUGGCUCAAUGAUGCCUGAUCCAGCCUUGGCCCUGGCUUCUGAGGCCUCUUAGAGAUCAUCUUCCCAUACCUAACUGCAAUUUCCAAUGACAAGAUCAUUGACAAGAUCCCUGGUGGAGGAUCAUCAGAUUUCUAGAAAGCUUUCAGGGGCAAGAGGUAGCCAACCAGUUUGUAAAUAUCUCAUAAACAUUUUCCUUAUGUUAAGCUGAAAAACAUUUUUUACUGGGAUUUGGAAUGCUACAGAUCUCCAUUAUUAAAAGCAUACACAUAUGUUCAGAUAAACAACAUCUUAAUUUUUUUUUCUCCCUGGAAUGUUUCUACUGAUGGGGAUCAGAACUGGGUGGGUCAUAAAAGUAUUUCCCAGUAAAUGGUAAAAGUAGCCACCCACCUACGGACAAUGGAGAUUUUACAAGGAGGGGAAAAAAAAUAUCACAAUUCAAUGGAAAAGGAGGAAUCUUGUGCAUAAGGUGGGGAGGAGGGAGAUUUAAGAAGACAUUUCUUAAAGAAGCAAUGUUUUAGUAAGAUUUUGGAUGUUUCCUAUUAUAGUUUUUUAGAAGCAGAAGUUUUCUUUAACAUUUUCCCAAUAUAGGCCCCAGCAUCCCUAAUCCGAAAAUCUGAAAUCCACAAUGUUCCAAAACUGUCUAAGUGCUGACAUGAUAGUACAAAUGAAACAUCCCCCAGCUGACUUCCGUCCUGGGGUGCAGUCGAAAAGCAGGUGUGCUACAAAAGCUGUCUCAAAUGACCUUCAGGCUAUGUGUACAAGGUGCAUUUGAAACAUAAAUGAACUUUGUAUUUAGACUUGGAUCCUAUUUUAACAUAUCUCAUUAUGUAUGUGCCAAUAUUCCAAAAUCUGGGGAAAAAAAAAAAAA